AAUAAGUACAGUUUUACACUGUUUAUAUCCAACGUUUGACCGCCAUUUUAUUUGAAAUUUUUUUAUACUUAGUAUCUUUAUUGUUAUUAGAUAAUAAAAUAUGAAUAGUAUUUUAUAUGUAACUAUUUUUUUAAAAAAAAAUAUAUAAUUUUUUUAAAUAAGAUGGGCGGUGAAACAUUGAACAUGAAUACUUACGGCUACAUUUAUU
rfam:Oryza glumipatula chromosome 10, whole genome shotgun sequence.